ACUGAAACACUGGUUCUCAUACAAUCAGCAAAGUUAAGCAACAUCAAGCCUGGUCAGUACCUAGGUGGGUGACCACUUGGAAAUACUAGGUACUGUAAG